GUGGGGAAUAUUGGACAAUGGGCGCAAGCCUGAUCCAGCAAUGCCGCGUGUGUGAAGAAGGCCUUCGGGUUGUAAAGCACUUUUGGCAGGAAAGAAAUAGUGCGUGCUAAUACCAUGCGCGAAUGACGGUACCUGCAGAAUAAGCACCGGCUAACUACGUGCCAGCAGCCGCGGUAAUACGUAGGGUGCAAGCGUUAAUCGGAAUUACUGGGCGUAAAGCGUGCGCAGGCGGCUUUGUAAGACGGAUGUGAAAGCCCCGGGCUCAACCUGGGAAGUGCAUUCGUGACUGCAAGGCUAGAGUGUGUCAGAGGGAGGUGGAAUUCCGCGUGUAGCAGUGAAAUGCGUAGAGAUGCGGAGGAACACCGAUGGCGAAGGCAGCCUCCUGGGAUAACACUGACGCUCAGGCACGAAAGCGUGGGGAGCAAACAGGAUUAGAAACCCUGGUAGUCC
rnacentral:rRNA from 1 species